rnacentral:rRNA from 1 species
CCUACGGGGGGCAGCAGUGAGGAAUAUUGGUCAAUGAACGAGAGUCUGAACCAGCCAAGUAGCGUGAAGGAUGACUGCCCUAUGGGUUGUAAACUUCUUUUAUAUGGGAAUAAAACAGGGUAUGCAUACCCUCUUGUAUGUACUAUAUGAAUAAGGAUCGGCUAACUCCGUGCCAGCAGCCGCGGUAAUACGGAGGAUCCGAGCGUUGUCCGGGUUUAUUGGGUUUAAAGGGAGCGUAGAUGGGUUGUUAAGUCAGUUGUGAAAGUUUGCGGCUCAACCGUAAAAUUGCAGUUGAUACUGGCAGACUUGAGUACAGUAGAGGUAGGCGGAAUUCGUGGUGUAGCGGUGAAAUGCUUAGAUAUCACGAAGAACACCGAUUGCGAAGGCAGCUUACUGGACUGAAACUGACACUGAUGCUCGAAAGUGUGGGUAUCAAACAGGAUUAGAUACCCGGGUAGUC